rnacentral:piRNA from 1 species
UGAGCAAAAUGUAGAAGGUUUCUCCAAAU